rnacentral:rRNA from 6 species
AGCUUGGUGGUUAUAGCAUGAGU